AGUACACCAAGAUGCUGGUUGGGUUGGGAGUGCUAUGGACUAGGUCAAGUGCCUGUUGAACAGCUAAAUGUAGUUGGCCAAGCAAGGACAUGGGGCAGUUGUGCAGAGAGAAGCAGGCAUGUAACGUGGAUGAGCCAUAUGAACGACAGACCUCUAGAGCAGAGAGGUUCAUGCUACAGCUAGACAUUUCCUCAAGCUCCAGAGGCCCAACCCAAGCAACCCUUUCCAUAGAUUCCAUUUAAUUUGUGCUUCAUCCCCUCAGAGGGGUUGGGGUUGUAGUGAUGAACCACCACACUUGACAUUACUAUUUGGGAAGGUCACCAGCCUUCUCAUACUGAAGGGGAAGAGCCAAGCCUUCGUUGAAAUAUACAUGCAAGAGGUUGCUGACACCACACGUAUCAGUGCCAUGCUGCCAGUCCAACUAUGUCUAGUUCUUCAAGCACAAGGUGCUCAAGACCAAUAGCUCCCCACACAAGGUGCAUGCCAAUCGGGUAAUCUUACAGGUGGUGAAGUCAGUACAUUUGAGAAACCUGGUCUUCAUGGGCUCCAGUGGCCCACGUACACCAAGAUGGUGAUGGUUGACCAGAACGCCGAACUCAGGAUCAUCAUGGGAAAAUCUCUGCUACUCAGUGAUCCUGGAUGCUCUGCAGCAGGCCUUCUUCAAGUGUGGCACUGUCCUCAGUAUCAUCAUCUUCACUAAGACCAUUUCCAGGCGUACUAUCAGCAGCAGUUGCAACUGCAUCAUCAUUUCAAGUCUGAAGGUGUCAGGGAUUCCAUCUUGCUGGCCGGAAACCUGAACACAAGAAGGCACAGAGCCAAGCCCCUUUAUUCUCUUCAGUAUCUAUGGUUAUGUGAAGCAGGUGAAGAUCUUGUUCAACAAGGAGAAGACAGCAGGUAGGCCCAGCUGGCCAUGAGGCACCCAAACAAACUACAUGGGGAGCCAAUGCGUAUUACAACAUCAAAGCACCAGAGUGUGCAGCUGCCUUGUGAGGGCCAGGAAAACUGGCUUCACCAAAAACGCUGAUAGCUCACCAGUGCACUGCUUCAAGAAGCUGGGCCCCAAGUUCUUUAAGAAUUUCUUCCUGUUCUCAGCCACCCGGCAACUCACCAACAUCCCUUCUUCAGUGUCAGAGCAGUUCCUCAAGAACUUCUCAAGCAACAAGGGCAUGACCAAGGGCUUAUAAUUCUUUCAGGGACUGCAGCCCUGACUUCAUGCUCUCUGUCCCAUCCAUCAUCCCUACUAGAAGAACUAUGUGAUGGUUCUGAUCCAGAUAAGUUUGUUGGAGGAGGAAGUGCAGGCACCCAUUAAGCUGCAAAUCCACGACCAAAGCAUCCCUGAACAAAAAGAACAAUGCUGAUGGGAUUGUUACUCCAGAAUUCAGGAUAUAUUAUAGAUCUCUAGUAAUGAAAAUAUGGCGCUGACACCAAACAGACAUGUAUGUCAAUGGGACAAAAUAGAAGACCCAAACAUGAGUAUUUGUAACUGCAGCCAUCUGCUAUUUGAUAAAGAGGCAAAAAACAUACCCUGGAGAAAAGACAGAGCAUCUUCAACAAGUGGUGGUUAAAGCUGAAGACUGUAUGGCGACAUGCAGAUGAAUGGAUCGGACUCAUACCUGUCCAAUCAUACCAAACAUUAGAUCCAAGUGUACCAAUGACUUCAACUUGAAACCCACAACAUCAAAGCUGCUGGAAGUAAACAUAUGCAGUUUCCUUCAAGAGAUAGAUGAAGGGAAGGACCUUCUCAACAGGACCACAUUUGUUUAGGAAUUAAGGUCAGCAAUUGACAACAGGGACCUCAUAAAACUGAAGAGCUUUUUGUGCAGCUAAGGAAAUAAUCAAGUGAAGAGGAAGCCCACAGAAUGGGAGAGGGUCAUUGCCAGCUACACAUCUGUCAGAGGGCUAAUAUCUACAAUAUAUGAGGAACUCAAAGAACAAAGAGUCAAGGAAACAAACAACCCAAUUAAAAAGUGGGUGGGGGAUGUAGACAAUUUCAACAGAAAAAUAGAAAGGGCUAAGAAAUACUUCAGAAAAAGUGUCCAACUUCCUUAGCAGUUAGGGUAAUGUAAACUAACCCAACGUUGACAAUUCUUAACGAGACAGUAGACAACAAAUGCUGCUGCAGAUAAGUCAGCGGGAAUGCCAACUAGCACAGCCACUCUGAAAGUCAAGUAGGAGGAUCCUCAAAAAGCUAAAAAUAGCUCUACAAAAUAAUUCCAGCUCUACCCCUUCGGCAUAUGCCCAAGGGGUAUCCUCCUCUACAGAUACUUGCCCGGCUCUGUUCACUGUUGCUCUAUAGCUAGGAAAUGGAAACAAAUCAGAUGUCUGACAACUGACAAUUGAAUAAUGAAGAUAUGGUCCCAGAAGGUCUAAGAAUCCAGUAGUUGUUCAGUGCCAGAGGCUGGAUAUCUCAGCCGAUCUUCAGAAUAUAUCAGAGCCCUGGCAAAGUAGGCUCUAAUGCUCGUAAAGGGAUGGACUUGCUAACAAGACGAGAGCAAGCACACAAGGAAAGAGCAAGCUGCCUUCUUCGAUGUCCUUCCUAUAGGCUUCCAACAGAGGGUGUGGCCCAGGUUAAAGAAAGAAGCAUCAGCUGGGUUGAGCCUGGAUUCAGUAAGCUGUUUCCUAUGGAGGAUGGGAGGGCACAUUAAAAUACAUGGAACCAGCAUUCAAGCAAUGGAAUUGCAAUGUCACUUCCUCCCACUCUACAACCACUCUCCUUUGACUAUAAUAUACAUCUCAAUCCUGAAACUUGUUUUUUUAAUGGUGAUAACAAAGAGACCACAAGAAGAUCCAAGAUCAGAAUUAGGCCCUGCACCAACUCACUGCUUCUAUUUUGCCCCCCCAAAGACAGUCACCCUAAGAACAAAUGCCAGCCCUUGUUCAAUCCUGAACAUGUGCAAGUUACAGUUUUAUGUACGGCCAGCCUGGCUAUCGGAACAAUAAUUGUCCCAGAGCAAGGCUUCCUGUUCUUAUGCUUUGCCCAGUAAAUAAAUCAGAUACAUGUCCA